rnacentral:rRNA from 1 species
UGCAAGUCGAGCGGUACAGGUGUAGCAAUACAUGCUGACGAGCGGCGGACGGGUGAGUAACGCUUGGGAAUCUGCCUGUUAGUGGGGGACAACCCGGGGAAACUCGGGCUAAUACCGCAUACGCACUACGGUGGAAAGCCGGGGACCGCAAGGCCUGGCGCUAACAGAUGAGCCCAAGUCGGAUUAGCUAGUUGGUAGGGUAACGGCCUACCAAGGCGACGAUCCGUAACUGGUCUGAGAGGACGACCAGUCACACCGGAACUGAGACACGGUCCGGACUCCUACGGGAGGCAGCAGUGGGGAAUAUUGGACAAUGGGGGCAACCCUGAUCCAGCGACGCCGCGUGGGUGAAGAAGGCCUGCGGGUUGUAAAGCCCUUUCGGUUGGGAAGAAAAGUUGCGGUUUAAUACAUCGCGACCUUGACGUAACCAACUAAAGAAGCACCGGCUAACUCUGUGCCAGCAGCCGCGGUAAUACAGAGGGUGCGAGCGUUAAUCGGAAUUACUGGGCGUAAAGCGCGCGUAGGCGGCUUUGUAAGUCGGUUGUGAAAUCCCCGGGCUUAACCUGGGAACUGCAUCCGAGACUGCAUGGCUAGAGUAUGGGAGAGGGAAGUGGAAUUUCAGGUGUAGCGGUGAAAUGCGUAGAUAUCUGAAGGAACAUCAGUGGCGAAAGCGACUUCCUGGACCAAUACUGACGCUCAUGUGCGAAAGCGUGGGGAGCAAACAGGAUUAGAUACCCUGGUAGUCCACGCCAUAAACGAUGAGAACUGGAUGUCGGAGGGGUCUGCCCUUCGGUGUCGUAGCUAACGCGUUAAGUUCUCCGCCUGGGGAGUACGGCCGCAAGGUUGAAAC